ACCAUGGGUCGCGGGCCGACUAGCGCAGAUACAGUCAACUUCGGCAGUGUAUUGGACCCUGUACGGUGAACCAGUUUUUAAGAAAGCUGCGGAGCACGCCUCUCGACACGCCACAACGGCGAAGGAAUGGGCUCAACCUCACGUAGAUACUCUUAAGAAGAAAGUAGGCCCUUCUGCGAGUGCGUACUGGC